rnacentral:snoRNA from 1 species
UUACAGGUGUCCACCACCCUGUCUUUUAAUAUAUGAGUAUUGUUAUUACUUAUGUGUUAUACAAAUAGUUGAUGAUUAAUUACCAGAGUAACUGUAUGUAAUUAUGCUGCCAGUCUCCUUAAGACAAUU